CGACGAACUUCUUUAUCACCGAGUGCUUGCACUCACCGAUAAAGAUUUGAGUGGCGAACGGGUGAGUAACACGUGGGCAACCUGCCCAAAAGAGGGGGAUAACACUUGGAAACAGGUGCUAAUACCGCAUAACCAUAGUUACCGCAUGGUAACUAUGUAAAAGGUGGCUAUGCUACCGCUUUUGGAUGGGCCCGCGGCGCAUUAGCUAGUUGGUGGGGUAAAGGCUUACCAAGGCAAUGAUGCGUAGCCGAACUGAGAGGUUGAUCGGCCACGUUGGUACUGAGACACGGCCCAAACUCCUACGGGAGGCAGCAGUAGGGAAUCUUCCACAAUGGGCGAAAGCCUGAUGGAGCAACGCCGCGUGGGUGAAGAAGGUCUUCGGAUCGUAAAACCCUGUUGUUAGAGAAGAAAGUGCGUGAGAGUAACUGUUCACGUUUCGACGGUAUCUAACCAGAAAGCCACGGCUAACUACGUGCCAGCAGCCGCGGUAAUACGUAGGUGGCAAGCGUUAUCCGGAUUUAUUGGGCGUAAAGGGAACGCAGGCGGUCUUUUAAGUCUGAUGUGAAAGCCUUCGGCUUAACCGGAGUAGUGCAUUGGAAACUGGGAGACUUGAGUGCAGAAGAGGAGAGUGGAACUCCAUGUGUAGCGGUGAAAUGCGCAGAUAUAUGGAAGAACACCAGUGGCGAAAGCGGCUCUCUGGUCUGUAACUGACGCUGAGGUUCGAAAGCGUGGGUAGCAAACAGGAUUAGAUACCCUGGUAGUC
rnacentral:rRNA from 1 species